ensembl:misc_RNA 7SK 7SK RNA
GGAGAUAAGGGCUAGCCAACUGUUAUAUAUCUGUCACCCCAUUGAUCGUCAGGAUUAAUGUGGCUGAUUUGCCAAGCUAAGCGGGUCUCUCCCUGCUUAUACCUCUUUCAAACUGCACUCAAUUGCAGAGGACAACAUUUCCUAAUAGAGGAAGCCCACUCUUUGGUCAAGGGGAUAUGAGGACCUACAAGCCCUCAAGGUAAGUGCUCUAUGACCGAGUUAGCUCUAUAGCACUCUAAAUAGUGUACAACCAGUAUUUUCUCCAUUUUGUAGAACUGGGACU